rnacentral:lncRNA from 13 species
GUGAGGUUUCAGCAGAGUGGGCAUGAGUUUUGGGGAUCCACCAAGAUUCCCUUUUUGGGUGCUAUCACCCUGACUUUACCUUGGGGAAUCUUUCUUUCCUUGUCAUUAGUCCACAUGGUUCUGAAGGGAUUAUUUCAUCCUUGACGCCAGAGGGUGUCACAGGACUCCGGAUUGGCCAAUGAGAUCAGCACAUUGCCCUGGCAACUGUGAUUGGUUUGGAACAAUCACAUGACUCAAGCCCGAGCCAUCAGAGCUGAUGAACCUUUUCCCUGGCACCACUGCUGGAACUGUCUGGAAUGAGACUCUUUCCUUUGGGAUGUCUGAGCAGGGAGGACGGGAGGCUAGAGCUUUGGGGGCCAUAUUGGUCAUGAUUUGGAAAGAGAAUGUAUGAGAGUGAAGCCAAUGCAAAGACCCAGCUUGACCAGUGGGGCUGUGGAAGCUGCAAGCUGCAGAUAAGAUGGGAGAGGAGGAUAAGGAAGAAUGUCACACAAUUCAAAGGAACGGCACAUGGAAUUACAUUCACGACGGACACAGACACAAAUAAUGAUGAUAAUGAGUGGGUAUCCUCUGACCUCUGCGCCUUGGCAGGCCUGAUGCGGAGUGUGUUUCAUGGAUCAUCUUACUGGAUCCAGACAGCAGCCGUAGGAGGCGGAUGAUGGUGGUUGGGGCUGUCUCAGCCUCCUGGACACUCAUGUCCUCCAGUGGGGUCAAGGGAGGGAGCAUCGAAGUUGAGAGUAACUGUCGGCCCCCGUGCUUGUAUUCUACACGGAUGCAUCUCCAAUCUCCUUCGCAGCUGCCUGGGUGUGAAGAUGCUCUGACCAUACCCAGGGCCGCAGAGUUCCUGUGGGAAGAGCCUGGAUACUUGAAUCGGACAGACUCAGGCCGGCAUCUGCCCUCUGCCUUGCCCUAGCCUUCCAUCUCAUCCCCAAGCCCUCGCAGCGGUAAAACAGCCCUUGUAUCACUGAGGCCUCCCCAGGCAGGGAUUCUCCCGGCUUGUUUACUCUGGAACCCUCCCCGUCUUGAAUCAAGUCAAUGCUCAAUAGACAUCUGUUGGAAGCGUGAACUAUUGAGCUGUUUGUGUGAACUACGGAGCUAUUAAAUGAGAUAAAAUGCGGUAAGGGCCUGUUACACAAUCAGGGCUUCAUAAACGAUCACAGCUGUAUUCAUAUAAAGCGCUUGGAACAGUGUCUGGAAAAUAGUACAAUUAAUAGUAAUUCAGGAUGUGAUGAUUAACUCUUCAGGCUUAUGAUACAAAUUCUGCAGUAACACUCACUCCUCUGGGCAUCUACCAUUUGCCAGGCAUCUUGUCAGGUGCUUUGCAAGCCAUCUUCCCAUUAGAUCUUCCUUGUGGCCUUGGGGGGCACUUGUAUUACCCCGUUUCACUGACUAGGAAACUAAGGUUCAGAGAUGCUAUGACUUACCCGUAAUUUUAUUUUUUUGUUUUUCAUUUUUCUGGAGACAGAGUCUAGCUCUGUCGCCCAGGCUGGAGUGCAGUGGUGCGGUCCUCACUGCAGCCUCCAACCUCUGGGCUCUAGUGAUCCUCCUACCUCAGCCUCCUGGGUAGCCAGGACUGCAGGCACACAUCAUUCCAUCUGGCUAUUUAAAAAUUUUUUUGUAGGGAUGCAGUCUCACUAUGUUGCCCAGGCUGGUCUCAAA